UCCAGAACGCUUGUUUUGUUGAAGGCGUAGUUGAAGCCAUCGCUUGGUGCUAAUUGUACUCUUAUGAUAUGAAGGAUGAUAUUAAUGAGGAGGAAGAAAAGUUGCUGGAUGCCUUUCUAUCAAAAGAUGAUCGCCCUGAACGAACAUUGGCAGAAAAGUUGCUGGAUGCCUUCUAUCAAAAGAUGAUCGCCCUGAACGAACAUUGGCUGACAUCAUUGUGGAGAAGAUCAAGGAAAAAGAUGCCCAAGUUUCAUCUGGUAUGAGUUCAAAUUUGCUGAUGAUAAUUAACCUGUUCUUCCUUUCAUAUUGGAUGGGGUGUCUAAAGUUGGUACUAAAAUCAAAUGUUGGGGGUUGUUAUAC
rnacentral:lncRNA from 1 species